CCAAUUAAAAAGAAUUGAAAAUUUAUUUCACAAUUACAAUGAUAUAUUAAUAAAAAACAUUUAUUUAAAAUAUGAUCUUUAUCUGGCGGCAAAUGAAACGGCAUAUGUGAAGCUCUUUUCGAUAAAGUAUUAACGGUUCGUAGAUGCAAUUAACCACUGAUUUUUCCAUAACGAACUAAAAUUAGAAAUUCAAAUUGAUUUUUUUUCUUCUUGCUGCCAACCGAGCUGCUGCAACUGUAUUACAAUCAAACCAAGCAGAAUUACUGGUCAAUUUUCUCCGGAAUGGAAUGAUUUCGCAAUCGUUGCGGAAGGUGAUGGCAGUCUAGGGUCGACGACCACGAUAUUCACGUGAGACGAUCGUUAGACGUUCCAUAGGAGCAUUUGUGUCGAAAAAUGAAUCAAAUUUAUCAUAUAAUUGAAAUAAAUUAACUCUAAAUUAAUCUUUUUAUGUUCAAUGUUGCGAAUAUAGAAUAUGAUACUUUAUUUAGUUAUUAAUAUUUCUUUUUGGCGAAACAUAUUUCUUU